ensembl:lncRNA
GGGAGCCCUCCCGACUCUGUCUCUUUGUCUUAUUUUCUCAGUCCUCCUUUCCCCCAUUCAGGAACCUUUCGACUGGUGACCACUGGUCCGUCACACUCCAGGAAAAAAGGUAACUGCUCUUCUCCAGCUUGGGCCAUGUGACUUGUUUUAACUAAUGAGAUGUGAAGUCCACGGUGUCGUUGCUGCAGUCAGCUCCUCAGAGCAUUUGGUAAGGCCCUUGGUCUUACAAGAUGAGACCAGAGGAUGAGGCAAGUGGAGAGGCGGAUAGCCUAGCGCUGACUCGAUGCCCUUUGUCUACAGAUCGGACCCUCUGACCCUAUGGGAGGAAACGUCGUGCUCCCAUAAGGACUUGCGCAGUACAGACCGAAGGCCUUACCAAACGCUCCGAGGAGCUGACUACAGUGAAGAACACCCGGGAAGGAACACACCGAGGAGCUGACUACAGCGAUGAACACCCGGGAAGGAACACACCGGAAGGAACACACCAGAAGGAACACACCAGAAGGAACACACUGGACAAGUUGGAAAGUAAAACAGACCUUAGUCUGGCCAGAUGGCACUCCCAAAGCAAAGUAGCUUAGAGAGGCGACUAGUCCAGAGUCCGAGGCUCUUUUUAUAGGGGGUUGCAAGGGAAGUUAACAGGUGAAAUUUACAGAAGAGGAACAAAGGUUAGUGGUCAGCUGACACAUACUGAUGGUCAGCAGAUGUUUGUAGAUUGUUCUAUAGAUAGUGGUGUCAGAACAUCAGUUUUGAAGAAA